UCCCAACCGACUUGGAGAAGGUGUUCGACAGUGUCCCUCGGGGAGUCCUGUUUGGGGGGGUACGGGGGACCGAACCCCCCUGAUACAGGAGAAAAACAAUUCAAGGUUACCUGGCCUGUGUUAAAAAGAAGCGCCAUUAUUCUCACAUGGAGAAAUCAUGGAAAAGUGGUGAACCUUCUCAGGAGUGGCCGGCCUACAAAGAUUACCCCAAGAGAAUAGCAAUGACUCAUCCAGGAGCCCACAAAGGACAUCAGGAACACUUUUAAAGAACUGAAGGCCUACCUUGCCUCAGAUAAGUCAGUGUUCAUGACUCAACAGUAAGGAAGAGACUGGGCAAAAAUGGCGUCCAGGGCAGAGUUUAAAGGCAAAAACCACUGCUGAACAAAAGAACAUAAAGGCUCACCUAACUUUUGCGAAAACAAAACAUCUGAAUGAUUCCCAAGACUUUUGGGAGAACAUUACAUGGACUGACGAGAUGAAACCUUUUGGAAGGUGUGGGUCUCGUUACAUCUGGCAUAAACGUAGCACAGCAUUUCAGAAAAAGAACAUCCGACCAACAGUCAAACGUGGUGGUGGUCUUGGGCUGCUUCCUUGGCAACUUGCUGUGAUUGAUGGAACCAUGAAUUCUGCUCUUUGACCGAAAAUCCCGAAGGAGAAUGUUCAGCCAUCAGUUUGUGACCUCAAGCUAAAGUGAACUUGGGUUAUGCAAUAGCAGGAUAAUGAUCCAAAACACCACAGCAAGUCAACUUCCGAAUGGCUUAAAAAUAACAAAAUGAAGGUUUUGGUGUGGCCUUGUCAAAGUCCGGACUUGAAUCCGGUUGAAAUGCAGUGGCAUGUCCUUAAAACGGCUGUUCGUGCUAGAAAACCCUCAUUUCUUCCCUGAAUUCAAACAAUUGUGCAAGGAAGAGUUGGCCAAAAUAUCUCCACAGCGAUGCGAAAGACUCAUUGCCAGUUCUAGAAAACGUUUGAUUUCAGUUGCUGCUGCGGAUGAUGGCCCAACCAGUUAUUAGAUUUAGGGGCCUGUUACAUUUUCACACAGGGUCAGGUGACUUUGAAUAUAUAUAUUUUUUCCUGCAUUAAUGAAGUAGCCAUUUCAAAACGGCAUUUUAAGUCCACUUGGGUUAUAUUUGUCUGAUAUUCACAUUUGUUUGAUGAUCUUAAGCAUUGAAGUGGGGAAACUAUGCAGAAAUGUAAGAAUUUGAGAAGGGGGGGGGGGGGGGGGGGGCGCAAUACUUUUUCACGCACUGAAACGUCUCCUCACUGGGUAUUAAUAAAUACAUUUUAAUUAACCAAUUUUAGAAAAAGCCUAAAUGAAUGCAGCAAAUGUCACAAGACUUAAAAAUGUACUGCAAAUGCAUUGGGUUUAAAGAACAGAGUUUUCACUGCUCACGUCCAUAGGGAGAGCCAUUAUCCUACCCUCUGGCAUACUUUGCCCACCCCGUAUUAGACUGAUCCAUAGUCUGAGCAGCAGAAUGUGGAAUAGGAGUUCCACUGAAACAUUUCUACAUCAAUCACUUGCAAUCCCGUUUUGUCAAUUUGUCAAUGUUUCCUGCAGGUUUGGGCUCAGGGAAGACUGCCGUUACGUUUAACUAUGAGGGUGACUAUUCUUACUAUCCCACACGCUGUUGCUUUUUAAUAUGCUGUACAGAAAACUCCUGUUCACAAAAAGGCGGUUAACAGACGACAUUGCACGCUUUUAUUAAUCACCCAAGACAACAACAACGACCGUUGCGGUCCGCUCGACCGCACGAGGGUAUCCUGUAUCCAGCAAAGUCAGGCCUUCAAAAUACAAACUAGCGUGCCCGUCCAGCAGGGGACCCAACCGGGGGGACGCCACCCACUCCCCACUCCCCAGGACGGUCCCCAGCCCAACUGAAGCGCACUGACCAGUCCCAAAGGGAGGGGCACCACCCACCUCCCCCCACACUUGGGAAAUGAUCCAAUCAAUUAUAAAUACAUCUUUGCCAAUGACGUAAGAUGAAAGGCAGAACAAUUAAAAGCUCUUCCACUAGAUGGCAGAAGGUACAAAAAAACAUGUUGCCAUUCAUACAACAAAAGAAAAAGUGUUUUUUCAACUGAUUUAGUACAAUUUUGCAUCGCUGAAUCCAAAAAUGAUAUCGGUCCAGGUCAGGUUUUUAUGCCAAUUUUUUAACAGUUUAUGAAGCAGAACGUAAAUUUAAAAGUAGACAUUGAUUAAAGUAAGUACCUGUAAAUUGUAUCUUAUGUCAUCAUUGUUCAGAAUUCAGGGCAUGAACUUCCAUUUAUUUGGCGAAAAUACCUGUACAUCCAAACAAAAACAUGGCCAUAGUUCAAAAAGUUGACCUGCUUGAGCAAAACCAACAUAAUAUUUGGAUUCAGCACAUUUUAAUUGUCCGAAAUCAGCUCCAAAAAAAUCUUCCAAUCAAUUUGUUGUUGACCAGUGUAAUAAGUCUUGGCUUCCUGCGAGUGUAUCAGCCUAGUGUGGCAUUAUAUAGGCCCACAUUUCACACCGAGUACAAGGCCUGUCACAAUAAUUACUAUGUUGACUUGUCGUUCAAUAAAUAAAAUGGGCACCAA